rnacentral:rRNA from 1 species
UACGUAGGGUGCAAGCGUUAAUCGGAAUUACUGGGCGUAAAGCGUGCGCAGGCGGUGAUGUAAGACAGAUGUGAAAUCCCCGGGCUCAACCUGGGAACUGCAUUUGUGACUGCAUCGCUGGAGUGCGGCAGAGGGGGAUGGAAUUCCGCGUGUAGCAGUGAAAUGCGUAGAUAUGCGGAGGAACACCGAUGGCGAAGGCAAUCCCCUGGGCCUGCACUGACGCUCAUGCACGAAAGCGU